rnacentral:rRNA from 1 species
AUUCGCCCUUAGAGUUUGAUGGUGGCUCAGAACGAACGCUGGCGGCGUGGAUAAGACAUGCAAGUGGAACGCUGACUAGAAGAUAGCAAUAUUUUCUAGAAGGAGUCGCGAAAGGGUGCGUAACACGUGGGCAAUCUGCCCUGAAGUUCGGAACAACUUGCCGAAAGGUGAGCUAAUACCGGAUGUGAUCUUUUGCAGGCAUCUGCGAAAGCUCAAAGCUGGGGAUCUUCGGACCUGGCGCUUUAGGAUGAGCCCGCGGCCUAUCAGCUUGUUGGUGAGGUAAAAGCUCACCAAGGCUAAGACGGGUAGCCGGUCUGAGAGGACGAUCGGCCACACUGGAACUGAGACACGGUCCAGACACCUACGGGUGGCAGCAGUCGAGAAUCUUUCACAAUGGGCGAAAGCCUGAUGGAGCGACGCCGCGUGGGGGAUGACGGUCUUCGGAUUGUAAACCCCUGUCAUCUGGGAGCAAUGCUGCUUCGUUAAUACCGGAGUAGUUGAUAGUACCAGAAGAGGAAGGGACGGCUAACUCUGUGCCAGCAGCCGCGGUAAUACAGAGGUCCCAAGCGUUGUUCGGAUUCACUGGGCGUAAAGGGUGCGUAGGCGGUCGGCAAAGUCUGAUGUGAAAUCUCCGGGCUCAACCCGGAAACUGCAUCGGAUACUGGUUGGCUAGAGGAUUGGAGGGGGGAGUGGAAUUCUCGGUGUAGCAGUGAAAUGCGUAGAUAUCGAGAGGAACACCAGUGGCGAAGGCGACUCCCUGGACAAUUCCUGACGCUGAGGCACGAAAGCUAGGGGAGCAAACAGGAUUAGAUACCCUGGUAGUCCUAGCCGUAAAUGGUGCACGCUUGCUGUGGGCGGAAUCGACCCCGUCCGUGGCGUAGCUAACGCGUUAAGCGUGCCGCCUGNGAAGUACGGUCGCAAGAUUAAAACUCAAAGAAAUUGACGGGG